rnacentral:rRNA from 1 species
AGGAAAUUUGAGAGGACCUGUCCUUAGUACGAGAGGACCGGGAUGGACAUACCUCUGGUGUACCAGUUGUGCCGCCAGGCGCAUCGCUGGGUAGCUACGUAUGGAUGUGAUAAACGCUGAAAGCAUCUAAGUGUGAAACACACCUCGAGAUGAGAUUUCCCAUUCCUUUAUGGAAGUAAGACCCCUGAAAGAUGAUCAGGUAGAUAGGUUAGAAGUGGCAGUGCGGUGACGCAUGAAGCGGACUAAUACUAAUCGGUCGAGGACUUAACCAAG